GACGAACGCUGGCGGCGUGCUUAACACAUGCAAGUCGAACGGAAAGGCCCUGCUUUUGUGGGGUGCUCGAGUGGCGAACGGGUGAGUAACACGUGAGUAACCUGCCCUUGACUUUGGGAUAACUUCAGGAAACUGGGGCUAAUACCGGAUAGGAGCUCCUGCUGCAUGGUGGGGGUUGGAAAGUUUCGGCGGUUGGGGAUGGACUCGCGGCUUAUCAGCUUGUUGGUGGGGUAGUGGCUUACCAAGGCUUUGACGGGUAGCCGGCCUGAGAGGGUGACCGGCCACAUUGGGACUGAGAUACGGCCCAGACUCCUACGGGAGGCAGCAGUGGGGAAUAUUGCACAAUGGGCGGAAGCCUGAUGCAGCAACGCCGCGUGCGGGAUGACGGCCUUCGGGUUGUAAACCGCUUCCGCCUGUGACGAAGCGUGAGUGACGGUAAUGGGUAGAGAAGCACCGGCUAACUACGUG
rnacentral:rRNA from 1 species